rnacentral:rRNA from 1 species
ACGGUGAUGUCAGAGCUUGCUCUGGCGGAUCAGUGGCGAACGGGUGAGUAACACGUGAGUAACCUGCCCCCGACUCUGGGAUAACUGCUAGAAAUGGUAGCUAAUACCGGAUAUGACGAUUGGCCGCAUGGUCUGGUCGUGGAAAGAAUUUCGGUUGGGGAUGGACUCGCGGCCUAUCAGGUUGUUGGUGAGGUAAUGGCUCACCAAGCCUACGACGGGUAGCCGGCCUGAGAGGGUGACCGGCCACACUGGGACUGAGACACGGCCCAGACUCCUACGGGAGGCAGCAGUGGGGAAUAUUGCACAAUGGGCGCAAGCCUGAUGCAGCAACGCCGCGUGAGGGAUGACGGCCUUCGGGUUGUAAACCUCUUUUAGUAGGGAAGAAGCGAAAGUGACGGUACCUGCAGAAAAAGCACCGGCUAACUACGUGCCAGCAGCCGCGGUAAUACAUAGGGUGCAAGCGUUGUCCGGAAUUAUUGGGCGUAAAGAGCUCGUAGGCGGUUUGUCGCGUCUGCUGUGAAAUCCCGAGGCUCAACCUCGGGUCUGCAGUGGGUACGGGCAGACUAUAGUGCGGUAGGGGAGAUUGGAAUUCCUGGUGUAUCGGUGGAAUGCGCAGAUAUCAGGAGGAACACCGAUGGCGAAGGCAGAUCUNUGGGCCGUAANCUGACGCUNANGAGCGAANGCNUGGGGAGCGAACAGGAUUAGAUACCCUGGUAGUCCAUGCCGUAAACGUUGGGAACUAGAUGUGGGGACCAUUCCACGGUCUCCGUGUCGCAGCUAACGCAUUAAGUUCCCCGCCUGGGGAGUACGGCCGCAAGGCUAAAACUCAAAGGAAUUGACGGGGGCCCGCACAAGCGGCGGAGCAUGCGGAUUAAUUCGAUGCAACGCGAAGAACCUUACCAAGGCUUGACAUAUACCGGAAACAUGCAGAGAUGUGUGCCCCGCAAGGUCGGUAUACAGGUGGUGCAUGGUUGUCGUCAGCUCGUGUCGUGAGAUGUUGGGUUAAGUCCCGCAACGAGCGCAACCCUCGUUCUAUGUUGCCAGCACGUAAUGGUGGGAACUCAUAGGAGACUGCCGGGGUCAACUCGGAGGAAGGUGGGGAUGACGUCAAAUCAUCAUGCCCCUUAUGUCUUGGGCUUCACGCAUGCUACAAUGGCCGGUACAAAGGGCUGCGAUACCGUAAGGUGGAGCGAAUCCCAAAAAGCCGGUCUCAGUUCGGAUUGAGGUCUGCAACUCGACCUCAUGAAGUCGGAGUCGCUAGUAAUCGCAGAUCAGCAACGCUGCGGUGAAUACGUUCCCGGGCCUUGUACACACCGCCCGUCAAGUCAUGAAAGUCGGUAACACCCGAAGCCAGUG